GGGGUCAUGGCUCAGUGGUAGAGCACUUGACUUAUUCGCAUGAGACCCUGGGUUCAAUCCUCAGCACCA
rnacentral:tRNA from 1 species